UAUUUUAAAGAGAGUUUGAUCCUGGCUCAGGACGAACGCUGGCGGCGUGCCUAAUACAUGCAAGUCGAACGAACGGAGGAAGAGCUUGCUCUUCCAAAGUUAGUGGCGGACGGGUGAGUAACACGUGGGCAACCUGCCUGUAAGUUGGGGAUAACUCCGGGAAACCGGGGCUAAUACCGAAUGAUAAAGUGUGGCGCAUGCCACGCUUUUGAAAGAUGGUUUCGGCUAUCGCUUACAGAUGGGCCCGCGGUGCAUUAGCUAGUUGGUAGGGUAAUGGCCUACCAAGGCAACGAUGCAUAGCCGACCUGAGAGGGUGAUCGGCCACACUGGGACUGAGACACGGCCCAGACUCCUACGGGAGGCAGCAGUAGGGAAUCUUCCGCAAUGGACGAAAGUCUGACGGAGCAACGCCGCGUGUAUGAAGAAGGUUUUCGGAUCGUAAAGUACUGUUGUUAGAGAAGAACAAGGAUAAGAGUAACUGCUUGUCCCUUGACGGUAUCUAACCAGAAAGCCACGGCUAACUACGUGCCAGCAGCCGCGGUAAUACGUAGGUGGCAAGCGUUGUCCGGAUUUAUUGGGCGUAAAGCGCGCGCAGGCGGUCUUUU
rnacentral:rRNA from 1 species